CCUACGGGUGGCAGCAGUGGGGAAUAUUGGUCAAUGGGCGCAAGUCUGACCCAGCAACGCCGCGUGAAGGAAGAAGGCUUUCGGAUUGUAAACUUCUUUUAAGAGGGAAGAGCAGAAGACGGUACCUCUUGAAUAAGCCACGGCUAACUACGUGCCAGCAGCCGCGGUAAUACGUAGGUGGCAAGCGUUGUCCGGAUUUACUGGGUGUAAAGGGCGUGCAGCCGGGAAGACAAGUCAGAUGUGAAAUCCCGCGUCUCAACCGCGGAACUGCAUUUGAAACUGUUUUUCUGGAGUACCGGAGAGGUAAUCGGAAUUCCUUGUGAAGGGGUGAAAUGCGUAGAUAUAAGGAAGAACACCAGUGGCGAAGGCGGAUGACUGGACGGCAACUGACGGUGAGGCGCGAAAGCGUGGGGAGCAAACAGGAUUAGAUACCCGAGUAGUC
rnacentral:rRNA from 1 species